AGCAGUCGCCACGGUAAUACAGAGGGUGCGAGCGUUAAUCGGAUUUACUGGGCGUAAAGCGUGCGUAGGCGGCUUCUUAAGUCGGAUGUGAAAUCCCUGAGCUUAACUUAGGAAUUGCAUUCGAUACUGGGAAGCUAGAGUAUGGGAGAGGAUGGUAGAAUUCCAGGUGUAGCGGUGAAAUGCGUAGAGAUCUGGAGGAAUACCGAUGGCGAAGGCAGCCAUCUGGCCUAAUACUGACGCUGAGGUACGAAAGCAUGGGGAGCAAACAGGAUUAGAUACCCCCGUAGUCCCUGUCUCUUUACA
rnacentral:rRNA from 1 species